AAACUAACAGUGACCRGUUUAAUAUUUACUUGUGAGUAAAUAGAUGCACUGUAGAUGAGUAUGACGUYGCAAGACAAAAUUAGAAAAGUAAAAACAUUGAAAACAAGUUUGACUGAACUCAUUUAAUUUAAGCUGUCAUUAAGAAAAUCCAUUUAUCAAAAGGAAGGAUAGCUGACAGGAAAAAGCUCAUUUUCUAUAAAAGCUCCAGUAACUCUAAAGUUAGAGCAACGUCAGUGRAKUGGACCACUUGUAAGAAAGAUGCAYAAAUACGUAUAAGGUGACGUGACGCCAACGUCUUAAAGUGGGAGGGAUAUGGUCCUACAAAUAUGUGAGAUCUGACCCCCCCAGCCACCAAACCAACUAAAAUUCGCUAAAUAACCACUCAUCGACGACUCAUCAAUAAAAAAGUCCUGUUUUUAGAGUUUGAAGCGACGGGGAUGAAGCGACACUCUGAAAAUGAGAUGAGAACUGCAAAAMGUCCCGUCUGAAGAAGACCUGGUGAUAUGCAGCGAAGCAGCACAGUGGAGCCUAUCUAAAAUGCUUCGAAUUUGUGUCAACAAUUUGCCAAGAAUGUGACUGGUAACAGGAGUAAAMACAAAACAAAAAAGAGGUUAAAAGUAUGGACAUUAGUUUUCCAUCAGAACAACGGAGCAAGCUGAAGAUCCAGACAGGAUUUUGAAUUUGUGUUAAAGCAUUGAURUUUUACACAUCUUUUAAAAAAAAAGUCUUUGUCUUUCCCCCCGUGGCACUUCCAAAUUGCAUUCUCAAUUUCAUUGCUUGUCUUUUUAUCCCCAAAAGAAAACAAACCCAUCCACAUUUGAAUUCAUGUAUUCCACUUUUUUUAUCUCAUCUUGAUGUUGGAGAGGAACAUGAUGGGACUCUUGAACCAUAACCAUCUCAAUUUUGUGUUUGUCUGGAACGAGGCGCUUGUAUGAGGAACAGAAGAGAACAUCUGAGUGAGGUUUCCUCCCAGAGCUUAAUGCAAAAUGCCAAGUUGGAACAUGGGGAUGGGGUGACUUUGAAAGAGGAGGAUGUCGUAGCCUUCAGCACUUUUUUAUCUCCGAGGAGGUCCUUUUAUUGCCUGGGGAUGCCAAUCUGUUUUCGGGAAAGAAACUACACGCAUCAAACCAGAACCUUCUUUUGCCCCUUUCUUGUCUUUCUUGGUCCAUGGUCUUUUUUUGCCCCGAGGCCUGGCUGCGACCACAAGAAGUAGGCUGGUGGUCCCAGCAGGGUCCGAGCCUCAGACAAACCAUUAGCAUGAGGGAAUUAAAGUCAUUACAGCUAGAAGGGCGAUGGAGGACGAGUCCUCCGUUCGGCACAUGAGGGAUGAUGUUUGUGAAGUUGGGUGAGGAAGGCAACAGACAAAAAACCAGAAGAUUUAUUAGAGAGACAUCUGAGGAAGUUGUAGUUCAUGUUCAUCUAUGCUGUUUGCAAAUGUUUUGCUUAGAGGGGAUAUUUCCUGUGAAUAAAAAAAGUUGUUCUCUCUCAGUUUUUUUUUUCUCAGAUUCACUCAUUUCAUGCAUGUUAUCAUUUCUGGGGAGAAUUUUAUUACAGUACUCAUAUAAACAUAUUGUGUAUUUUGUCACUGAUAAUAAAAAAAUAAAUUUAUAGUAUAAAACAUGCUACUGGAAUGAACUCCCUUAAUUUCACACAUAUUACGAAUAGGAAUCCACAUGUCCUGCUUAAACAAUGCUGUUAUUACUUUAAAUUUGCUGUGGAUUUUCACAUUUAACUUUUAAAUCCAUGUCUGCUUUGUUUGAAAGGAAACUUCUUUUCUGGAGUGACCCUGGGAAAAAAAAGGAGCUAUUUCUGUCAAGUGAGUUUCUCCCCAUCACGGUGACCCUGCCUUUGAGUCUCCAUCAUUUCAUUAACUUCUGCCCGGCAGCCAGGGUGGCUCCUAUUAUCUUUCUACAUGCAGAAUGUGACUUAAAGCUUGCAGAUGGACUGAAUAAUUAUGUGCUUUUUAAGCAAGGUCAGCGUGCUGACUCUGAACCUCUCUGAGCACGAGCACAGACACGGACAAAAGAUUUCUUUGUCCGCUGUUUGCGAUUAAAAGGCUCAUUUCAUUUAAGAAAACGCACAAAAGUGUUGAGAACAGUAAGAAAAAAACUCAAUCUGUGCAGACACCGAGCAAUUAAUUGAGUGUUUCCCCCCAUUUACUUGAUAUUUACAUUUUAUUUCCAUUAACGUACAAAUGGCUGUACUUUGCUCAAUAAAAUGAAGUUUAUCUGAAACUCA